ACACGAGUAUGUUUCCCAAGCUGACAUGACUCACACGAAAGCGACGACAAAGUGGAAAAAUAAGGGACCAUCUUCUGGAACUUGGAGAGAUUAGGGUGGCCCAAACGACUGUGAAUGAGGAGAGGAGCAUCAGUGGAAAUGCAAACUGUAGGAGAUGAAUCCGAGGUGAGGUGAUAGAGGCCUUGAGACUCACGUCCUAUGCCAAUCGUCUUCCCCGUACUCCGGUCCUGCAAGGUCACAAAUUUAUCAAAAAAGGUAAUAGAGUAAUUAAGAGUACGAGUGAUUUUGUUGAUGGAAAUAAGAUUAAAAGGACAUUCAGGAGUAUAAAGAACAGAAGUGAGAGGUAGAGAAGGCAGAGGAAGGGCCAAACCAAUACCUUUAGCUACAGUUUGAGAACCAUUAGUUAAGG
rnacentral:lncRNA from 1 species